CAGGGGGGGCAAGCGUUGUUCGGAAUUACUGGGCGUAAAGGGCUCGUAGGCGGCCAACUAAGUCACACGUGAAAUCCCCAGGCUUAACCUGGGAACUGCGUGUGAUACUGGAUGGCUUGAAUUCGGGAGAGGGAUGCAGAAUUCCAGGUGUAGCGGUGAAAUGCGUAGAUAUCUGGAGGAAUACCGGUGGCGGAGGCGGCAUCCUGGACCGACAUUGACGCUGAGGAGCGAAAGCUAGGGGAGCAAACGGGAUUAGAUACCCCGGUAGUCCUAGCCCUAAACGAUGAAUGCUUGGUGUGGCGGGUAUCGAUCCCUGCCGUGCCGAAGCUAACGCAUUAAGCAUUCCGCCUGGGGAGUACGGUCGCAAGGCUG
rnacentral:rRNA from 1 species